UCAACGCAGGUUUAUGGAAUGUAAAUUGCAGCUAAUGGUAAAUCGAGGGAAUUGUACCUGCCGCUGUAGAUAGGGAGAAAGUGGAAUGGCCUCGGAGCACCCAAUUCCGCUUGGGUGUUGGAAGUGUCGACCGCGGCAGGGUGAAAUGCGUCCGAUAGAUUCAAAACGCAGUCAAUCUGGUUGUUUGCCGGACGUCGCCGCAGGCUUCGCUUGAUUGCUGCUGUCUUUCCCGUCUGCUGGUAGAUGAAAAUGGUGAAGAGAGGCCCGAACAGAGGAGCUCGUGAAGCCUUUGUGCUGUGUUCAGGUGUAAAUGCCUUUUACUGUGGCUUUACUCCUCAACCAACGGUUAUUUUUAUUAAAGCCCUUUGAAAAAUUCAGACUCCACGUGAGCGAAUGAAUUGUUUGCAUGACUUUAGUGCAAAAGGCUGCACCUAAGGAAUCCAAUGUCGGAACUCUACGCAGUAAAAAACCCCACUUUUUAUUUUACACAGUACAAACGCCAAUUUAAAAAAAUUUCAAAUAACCUCCCAAUUAUGCUUUCCAAACAAACCCAUUGGAUAAUUGAGGCUCCACUCUAGCAGCUCUGUUGUCAAUAAGCAGAAGAAAAUAUAGCAUCCAAACAAGCCUUCGGUCUCUCACAUGGUGAUAAUUUUGAUCAACGAUUCAACCUGCAAUACAAAAACCUUAAUAGAAAAAAGCAAUAAUUCAAGCAAGUAAUAGGAACAAUUAGAAUCUAUAAAAGGAUCAAGAAAUGAAGAUGGAAGAGCAAGCCUUGAAGAGAGCAUAUGAGGCAACCGAGGCAUCAAAUAUCUACAUCAAGCUAGAAACAAAGACAGAGGAGAAGCUCAAGAGUCUCUUAGUCUCUUACAAGCCAAUCUAAGACACUUUUUAGAUUGUAGCAAUUAUAAACACUUUAUCCUAAUAGUAGUAUUCGUGCCAUAGUAAUUGGAAUUUUCUCAUAUUUUCAGCAUAAGUUGUAUUGGCAUCUUCUAUAAGUGUAAGUAGUUCUUAUUCAUUUCUCUAUUAUUCUAUUCAAAAUUUUUUUGGUUAAAAAAGUGAUAUAAUAAGAAAAACUUAUCCGAGGAUUCUUCUAUUAACAAGUUUGUCUUUUCAUAUGUUAAAAUUAUAAAUUAAUUUUAAAAGACCUUCGAGCCUAUUUUGUGUCCAAAGCACCCAUUUCAGGUGUUAAAACCAUUUAAGUGGAAAGAAGGGUUUUUGAAUCUGAACAUGCCAAAUAAAAUUGAGAAAUAAUUUUAGUAUAAGAGAAAAUAAACCUUUUAUCAAUGUCUAAGAAAAACCUUGCUCGGAUUCGAAUUCGCCAAUCUUUUAUUAAAUCAAGAAUUACUUUAUUAGAAAGAAAAUUGUAAAGGUUAUAGGCGAGGAACUUUAAGGGCGAUUUAGGAAAUAGAUUUUAAAAUAACAAAGAAAGAAUAAAAUAAGAGUUAGUAGAAGGAGUUUGAUUCUUUACAAAAUUUCCCUUCUCAUUCGUCACAUUCACAUAAGUUCGAUACUUGAAUUGUUAGCACCCCUAGUCAGAACUCUCACAAUUUGGGAACUCUUUUUGAAAGUAUCACUAUUUGAGAAUUCACUAAGCUAUUCGAGGAACCAAAAUGAUAGUUUUUCAUGACCAAAGUAACUCUAGAAAAUAUAUUUUUUUGUCAUUUUUGUCUUGUAUUGAACAAUUUGGGUAUAUAUAUUAUUGCAUCUGUGUGUGCUUGGGCAUUUGUACAUGUAUAUUUUUUUGAAGAAAUCCCGUGUAGUUCUUCAAAAUUUUAAAAACAAAUCAUGUAGUUUCAAAAAAAAAUUUCUAUUCUUUUUUCUCUUGUAAGUUGAAGCUAGAAUUUCAAUCUAGUUAUUUUGUGCAUUAUCUUAAGAUAACCAUCUUACACUUAAGAAAAUUAUUUGAAUCUUAAAAAUACACAAAAUUGGAAGCCCUUUUUCUCAAGAUUUGCAAUUGAAAUGACAAUAUUGACAAAUAAGUACAAGAAUAGUAAUAUAUAGGACAAUUUUUUGAACCAUUAUCAAGUGCAAAAGCAGCAAAACUACACCAUAUAAAUAUGGUACAUGUGUAUCCAUUCUCUUGAGCAAAGCUAUAACCUUUAUGUGAAUAACACCCCACACUUACACCAUCUAGUUUUAUCACUCAAGAAGGGUUCGUGAUAUCUUAAAUUCUUAAUAUACUAUUAGCAAAUUAUAAUUAUCUAAAAAGUAAAUCGGAUGUCAAACCCUACAAUUGGAUCAUAAAAGAGGAUUUCAUGAGAAUUUGUUUUUUAUCCCUUUUCUUUUUCCUUUCCCUAACGAAUAAUAAUAAUAAUAAUAAUAAAUCCUAAGACAUAGAAAAUUUUACAUGGAUUGUUAUGUGGUCUUCGAGGUCUUGGAUUAUAGGUUAAUAUUAUUAGAGAAAACAAUUUUUCAUAAUUCAUAAAUUGGGAACUAAAAACUAUUCAUUUAAUUAAAAAAUAGAUAUAUUAUAAAAUGAUUAAAUUACCCAUUUCCCAUUCACUCAAUAUGGGACCCAUCAUGUCAAAAAUUUCAAUAGCCAAAAUUUUUCUUUUGACCCUCCAAUAUUUUUGGUCAUUUUAUGGCCUUAUAUUAAGGGUUCAUUUGGUUCACUGAUUGAAUGAAAUGGGAUGACUCAUUCUUGAAUUAUUAAUCCUAAGUUAAGUCAUUCUUGGAUUUAUAAUCUAAAUUAUCUAGUGCUUGGUUAAAUGUAGGUUGGAUGAGAUAUAUUGGGAAAUAAUCCUAUCAUGUAUUUGGUUGAAGAUUGAACGAGAUAGGACUACAAUUUUAAUGACUAAAGUACUCCUUUAGUCAUUAAAAAUUUGAAAAUUUAAUAAAAUAAUUUAAUAAUUUGAAACUUUAGAAUUAUAAAGUAAAUCAAGGGUUUGGUAUAUAAAAAUUUGCAUUCACUCAAACUCAACCCAUUCGAGCCCUUAAAAAUAGGUUUUGACCUAGUUUAAACUAAAUUUGAAAUUCAAUUAAAUAAUGGGCCGUGUUUUAGCUAAAUUAAGGUUAAAUUGAAUAAUGGGCCAUUUAAGAGUUUUAAAUAAGCCAAACUAAAGCCAAUAUUGAAGAUUUUUCUUUGGGCUGAGGUUGAGCUUAUUGAAACUCUUAUUCGCAAAGUCCAAUUGAUAAAGUUAUGUAUUUAUAUAGAAUUUGGUUAAGAAAAUAAGGUUAGUAAGGGCAAUUUAGUUUAAGGGCAAUAUAGUUCUUUUAUUAUACUAUAAGUAGAGGCAAAUUAAUCAAAAAUUUUGUAUUAAUUAAUAGGGAUAAAUUUGUCAAAAAAUUUAUAAUAAUGAAUAGGGGCAAAUUAGUGAAAAAUUUUUGAUGUAGUUAGUUAGGGCAAAUUAGUACAUUUAUUAUCAUAUUAUUAUGUGAGACUAUAGCUAUAUAAUAUUCAAUGUGAAUUUGUAUCAUUCGCAAGGGUAAACUAGUUCAAAUAUUGUUAUAUUGGUAGUAGGGCCAAAUUAGUCAAAAAAUUUUAAAUUAAUUAGUGGGGGCAAAUUAGUCCAUUCAUGUUAUAUUAUCCUAUCAUGGUAAGGUUAUACAAUUAUGAGAGUAUAAAUUUAUAUUAUUUGUAAGGAUCAAUUAGUUUAAAAUUUUAUCAUCUUAUCUUUUAGUUAUUCUGGGAUGACUAAUACCACCUCCCCCAUGAGAUUAAUUUAGUUAGUUGGGAUGUGCCAUCCCAUCUAUAAAAUGCAACCAAACAGGGGAUGACAGAAUGAUUAAUCCAAUUUUAUGUCAUUCCAUGAACCAAAUGGACCCUAAAGACACAUUGAAGGAAAAACACUCAACAAUCGUAGCUAAAAAUUCCCAAAAAAACCAACCAAUACAAGUUGAUUUUUUAUGUGAUAUUUCACGAAAAUUGUGCAACUAAUUUUUUUCACUAUGGCAUAUCAUAUUAUGAAAUCAUAUUGAAGACACUUUGCAAUAAAGCUGAACCAAAAAUCAUAGCCAAAUAUUCCUGGAUGAAUAGGAAAAGAUUGCCCCUUAUACCAUUUUCGAAGGGGCAAAACUUUGUGUAGACCCGGUCUAUGGGCCUAUUUGUAAACCGAACGAUGGUGAAAUUGCCAUGUCAUGACAAUCCACUAGAAACAUUCAGCAUAGUCCUUGCUUGACCUCUUUAUCUUCUAGAACUCCAUGAAUAUAGAGAAUAUUGUUACAUCUUAUCAGAAUCUCUCCAAGAUUUCCAGUAAACUGCCUCUCAAUAUAUUCCUCAGCAUUAGCUUAGCUGCAAGUUCAUGUACUAGUCCACAGAGGCAAGAAGACCUUUGUACUCCAUUGCCCACUUGAGCUUUACCAUAACAGGCUCUCCAGUAAGAUUGUUCAGGAAAGGUUUAGGAUUAAUUGGUACAGUAGCCAUUAUAGUUGACUGGGGAUCAGCGGAGCUUAUCUAUCACCUUGUUUGACUUCAAUGCUUUGCACUUUCGUCUCUCUCUGUCUCUCUCAAUUUUUGUAAAUUCCUCUUUUGAAAUACAUACAAGUACAAAUCAAAAUCUAAUAGCAACAGUUUUUUAAGCUAGGUUUCCUUUUGCUUUCUUGCCAACCUCCAUCUCAGCCUUGUAAAAUUUCCAAAAACCCCAGCUCCAUGUCUUCAAUUUUCUUUUUCUGUAAUUUCUAAUUGGAUUUGGUUUGUUAUUUUGGCUUUAUUUUUUGUUUUCCUUAAACAAUUAUGAGCUUCCCUCCCCCCUCUCCAAAAAAAAAAAAAAAGGAAAACCCCCUAAAGCAUCUUAGGAAAUGAAAAAGGGAAAGAAACCCCAAAGAAGGAGAGUGGUGAUGGUUUCAGUGGAGAAGGAUCUUAGGAAUAGGUACCGGUGAAAGAAAAAAGGAGGAAUAAACGAGUUACAACUUUUGGGGAGGAAAGAGAGAGAAAGUAAUGAAGGGAUGUAGAUAAUAUGGUGAUGAUGAUAAGCGUAGGAAGGAUGUGGUGAUUGUGGGGGAAGUAGUAGUUAAGGAAUAGAUGCUGAUGACUGGGGUAUCAUGGAAGGUAGGAAGCAAAUUUGGGAUUGAAUGGGGAGUAGAAGGUUUGAAGGGAGUAUAGUGAUAUGAGGGGCAGAUUGGCACAUAGUGGUGUGGCGCAACUUGCACCACUUAGUCUACAUGUGGGCCCCUAUACCAAGUCUAUGCAAGUUUUUGCCUUUUGAAUAAGGUUUAGCACUGAGUUUGGUCUACUAGAAUGUUUAUCCUUGGUCUCCAAUAGCUACUCUAUAGUGUUUGCAAUUUAUAGAUGAUCUUUUGCGACACAAGUUCGCGAACUAUCUUUGCUAGUAAUAAUACAUCAUGUAAAAAUUACUAAAGUAUGUUAACAUUUUUAGAAAAGAGGCAUGGAAAGUAAAAGGAAUAGCCAUGAAACAUCCAUCUGGUGAUUGCACUGUAAACAAUUGUUGUGCUAUAAACUAAGGAUCACCACAUAGGUCUCGGCAAAAGAAAGCUACCAGCGAACACAUAAGUGGAUCUGAGGGUAAUUUAUAAUGGAGGGAUUGGGAAAGAAAAAUGAAGAAUUAAGAGGCCAAUUUGUAAAAUAAAAUAUAAAAAGGGUGGCACAGGGGAAAGGAGACCUCCCAUUUACACUAAAAAAAAUUAAAAAAUUCAAAUUUUGUGGAUAUUAUAGUCAAGAAAUAUUAAAUAAGGAGCAAAGUGCCUGUUUAAAAAGUUCAAGGGUCAAAAUGCAUUUCGUGUAAAAGUUGGAGGGGUUUAAUGUGCAAAAGCCCUGGCAAGCAUCUAUUAUCAUCAAGGCAUCGCCUGUACAGUAAAUUGCAAAGCACAAAAGAACCCAAAAAAAAGAAAAAAAAAAAAAGGAAAUUCCAGAAAGCGAAAAGGAUAGCAAAGCCGACGACGUGGAGCUGCCGUUGACGUCACACCUCGCCGGAGCCGACCUCUACUGCCGAAAUUGUCAUCGGAAUUACACAGUAAUGUCCUUCUUAUGCUCUCAACUUCGAUUCCCUUCAAAUUUUGUUGGAAUUUUCUUAAAUGGCAUGAAUACCUGUUUGUUGGUUUUUCUCGCCUUUUUUAAAUAAAAGAAUUGAAGCUUGUUUAUUCCUACCCCAUGUGGAUUGUUUUUCUGUUCCCAUCUGUGAUGUAAUUUUGCAAUUAACAAGAAGAAGAAUUCAAUUCCCUUCCAAUUUUGUUGAAAUUUUCUAAAAUGGCAUGAAUACUUGUUAUUGUUGUUGUUGUUGUGUUCUUUUUUUUUUCAAAGAAAAGAACUGAAGCUUGUUUAUUUCUACCCAAUUUGAACUGUUUUUCUGUUCCCACGUGUGAUAUGAUUAUGCAGUUAAUAACAAGAAGAAGAGUUGAGUUAUUUGUUUCUUUCCCUUUUUUCGGUUGAUGUUCAUACAGUAAUUACAAAAUAUAGAAGACAAGAAUAAAAGAUGAACUAUCUUCUGACAACAUUAACAAAGAAGCAAGAAGUGGAUUCCAUGAUCAGAGACACUAUUGAUAAAGUCCUUGUCCUUUGCUUUGGUCGAGCCUCUGACUCCAUUUUUCUCCAACUUGAUGAAAUUGUGAGUAAUUGCAUACUCUUCUUUGCUCUCUUCUACUCCUUUUGAUUUUUUCCACCCAAUGGAAAGCAUUGUUUGUUUUUAUUCUUAUAGCAAGAUUAAGGUUGGCUUCUUUGUUGAAUGUUUGGCUAUUUCAUAAUCACAAAAAAUGAUUGUCACUUGAACUAUGCUUCUGAUCAUCACUUGACGAAUGUUCAGCUGUAUAAAUCAGUGAGGGAGGUAUCUAAGUUUGCAACUGUGGCUCUGGUGGAUAUCGAUUCAGAUGAUGUGCAAGUUUAUGUCAAGUAUUUUGACAUAACUUUGAUUCCAUCUACGGUGUUUUUCUUCAAUGCUCACCACAUGAAGAUGGAUUGCGGGUAUGUCGAUCUCCUCUUUUAAUGUAUUCUUUCCAAAAAAUACUGUUUUUACUUCUUUGUUUUUGCUUUUGUUUUCUAAUAGAGUAUGAUUAAUUUAUGAUGGAAGUCUUUGUGGUAUGGCUUAAGCACUAGAAAAGGUGGGCAAUUUCAAUCUGACCUAAGUUUUACUUGUGGUAAUUUACCUGCAACUAAUCUGUUCUGGGACUCUGUGCGUCAAGAAGUCUUUAAAUGGUGUUUAGAAAAUUUUCUAGGGCACAUACUUCUCUUAGGUGAAAGAUGUCUUUGGUAUUCUUUCUUUUGUAGAAAAUGUUGUGAUGGACUUCUAAUUUUGGAAUCUCUUUGCUGCAUUGUCAAUUGAAAGAAUACACAAAAGUAUUAGUGCACGCUUACAAAUUAUCAGAUGAUUGAAAUAGAUGUUUCACUCGCCUUCAGUUUUAAUACAGAAAGAUUUUUAGUUGCUUGUUUGGGUUGGCUGUGUGUAAUUUUUGUAUUCUCUGCAAUCCUUUAUAGGAGUGCAGAUCACACCAAGUGGGUUGGUACCUUCCUCAGAAAACAAGAUUUUCUUGAUGUUGUCGAGGUAUGGAUUUGUUAAUUUUAAUGUCCCAAAAAAUAGCUAGUCAUGCUGAUGCAAGUAAAAUGUUUUAUCUUCCUCUUCCUCCUCCUCCUCCUCCUAUUCUUCUUCUUCUUAAAUGUGUAGUUAAGGUCUGGAUGAUUUGCAUGUGUUACGGUUGUGACAGAACAUGAAAAAACACCAAAAACCAGCUUAAAGCUACUUCCUUCAUGAGUAAAUGUAUGCUAUGUUCAUUAUUCUUCCAUAAGCAUCAUACAGAUUAGUAAACAUGCAUUAAAGCCAUAUUGCUUCUAAGUAAAGAUAAGACAAAAAUAAAAAAAAUGAAAUAGACAAUAGAGAAACUUAUGUGAAGGGUUUUUAAAUAAUCUUUGGCUUAUGUUGCUUCCUCUCCAGAGGAUCGGUUACCAUGAGGCUAUUUGAAUAGCUUAGGCCACUAUCCUCAUAAACCAAUUUGAAUUUUUUAAAUUUCUAUAUCUGCUUUUAUAGUUCAUCUCUGGAAAAAUAAUAAAAUAUCAACUUUCAUGCUAUGGGGACUGCCAUACACACACUCAUACAUAUAGAUAUGCACAUAUAUAUAUAUAUAUUGUUCCAUUGGUGUUCUCAGUUUCAGUGCUACCCUGCUUGGUCAACAAGGAGUAUAGAUAUGUUAUCAUUUAUUAACUUCUUGACCAAGCAUCAUCUAUCGUUUCUUGGAAAAAAAAAAAAAAACUUCUUGACCAACCAUGGAAUUCCAUCUCUGCCCUUCUUCUUGCCGAAUAGGUUAUGAAACUCCAAGAUGAACAUGAGCAACGUUAAGUUGUAAUACUUAAUAACUACUGCCCCACCAACACCAACCCCACCCCAUUCACAGAACUUCCUCUUAUUUUAGUACUAUCCUUUGAGAUUAAAUUAUUCAACCAUGUAGGAGAUGAUAAGAAAAAGGAGCUAGUAGCAUUUUGAUGUUGUCAUUGUCCUCAGAUAAUUCCCAUGUGGACUAGAAAAGGAAUUAGGGUAAUUGAUAACCAUACAGUGUGGUAUAUGCUUGAGAAACUAUUUACUCAAACUCUAUGAAUACAAAUGAAAAACCAGGAUGACAUAAAGAAAGGAAAGUGCUAUUGUGCUCAAGCAGUAAAAUCUGCCCAUCAGAAAAAGUUUUUCGCAACCUAUGUUUUCAUUGUAUGUAAUUACUCUAUAAAUGUUUCUUUUUAGUUUCAAGCCUUACUCAAAUUAUUCAUCUAUUAGUGUAAGGUGCAAUUUUAAAAUGUCCAAAGAUUGUUUGGAAGGCAAGAGACACAAUUCUUGCAAAAAUUCUGAAUUUUUUGUUUCCAUGGUUGCUCUCCAUAAUUGAGAUCAAACUUUUCUCCUCUUGGAUGUGUUUUGAUGUAUAAAUUUUUAUGUGAACAAAUUUGUCAUGCACUGCUUCUUUUGGAGGAUAAUAUAAGAGCCAUUGGUCCAAUUUACCUUCUGUUUUUUACAGUUAUAGGACUUUCCUUCAUUAAUAAAUUGCUUUUGGGAAAGGCAGUCUUGGGAUUUGUAAAUUAUUUGAUCAAAUGAAAGAAUCAUGAGUUCAAUCCUAGUGGUUGGCUUAGAUAGAAUAGCCUUUGAUGGAAAUUUCAGCUGCAAUUCUGCUUAUAUAUGGAAGUGUGUAAUGUUUCUUACCAUAGUGUAUGGGCAGAGAGAAAGAAAAGUUGUCCUAAGUAUGGAGUCUAAGAUGGAUAUACCAGACGAAUUGGUAUGGCACUAUUAUUACAUCUGUGCCUGUGUAGAUUACAACUUGUGCCAGACAUCUUCCCUGCUUCAUCUUAACUCUUAGAUGUUAACAUUCCCUAGUAUAAUCUUUUUACAUCGAAUGAGAUUUUAGCCAAAUCUUAUCCUUGAGGUGAAGUACUAUACCCCAUAAUAUCAAUUAUUAAUUGGAAGAAACUAAACUUAGAAGCCUGGGGAACUUUAAUUAUGAUGAUAUGGAUAUUGGAUACUGAGUUGAACUUUGGUUUCAUGCUCGAAUUUACUUGGGACUUGACCUUUGUGAUCCUUAAUACUAAAACCCAGUAGGAAAUUCUAAAUUUAGGAGAGCCAGAUCUAGCAAUUGUUAUGCAAAUAUUAUGAACUUUCUGACAGUUCUUGAGCCAGUUUUAUUUGAAUGAACCAGGCCAUUUGUCAUUUUUAAAAGAUAAACCUCCCUCAUUGUAGAAAUUGUUAAAUGUUGAACUUGUUGGCGCAGCUUCACUGCAUCAAAUGUGCAGGGUAGACGUUUACUAGUGACAAUUUUUGGUGAUUACACUUGAGAUGGCUUAGCAUCUUUAUGUUGUUUCUUGAUUGCAGAGGAUUCUGCACUGAUACGUGCUUUUGCUUAAACAGUUUAUGUAAUAAGUUGGUCAAACCUUAAUUGUACCUGGUUAAUAAGUUGGUGUAAAUGGAUUGGGCCUAAAGAGAUGAUAGUUGGCCCACUAUACAUUUAUGAUCCAUUUUCUGGUUACAAUGUAACCUUCUUUCAACAAGAAAAAGUAAACAUUACAACAGCCAAUUGCCACCAUAGCCACUGGAUUCUGCCAGCAACUUGCAGCUGCUGCCCCUGCUACCUCCAGCCACCUUACUGACCUCCGGAACCUUCAUCCACUAGUCUGUUUUGUCCGUUGAACUUGAUUUUGGCUUGUAAAUCAUCCAAAUUUUCAACAAAGUGUUGAGUCCAGGGCAUUUUACGAAGCAGUUUGCCACCAGCCCAGCCAAUCCUUGAUGAAGUUUACAAAUGUAUGCUAUAACACUCCUCUGAGCAUCCAAAACAGCAUCCAACCCUCAAUUAAUGCCAAUACUCAUGUAAAUUUCAUUAUUUAAAAGAAGGCUUUAAAUCUGCGAAAAGAAAUUGCUGGAAAUCACUGUCUGUUUGGUUAGCAUGAUUUGCAAAAAAUAAAAUAAAAAAUCCAAAUGUUAUUCAACUUGCAUCAUAAAGUCAAUUUCCAUCCAUCUUUUUAUUUCACAUACAUCAUAUCACAAAAUGUGCUAUAGUGUUAUUCCAAAUAAUCUCCUAUCGAAACACACCCAGUAGUUACCUAAUUGCUGGCUAUCCGUUCCCCAAUACAGAACAGACAACUGUGACCCCACUAACAUGUAACAAAGCAAUAUACACAUCUUCCCCUGCUUUAAAGACAAAAUUGCUGCAGAGAGAGGGGAGCUAAGGAAGGGCAAACCAUGUCAGGAAGAGCAAUCUAUCAUUACUGCUAUAUUCAUUUAAGGAUCAAGAGAGAGUAUAAUGAGAGAGUGAGGGUCAUUAGGCUGGCUUUGGCUUUUGCAUUCUUGCUCCCUCCAUUCCUCUCUCUCUCUCUCCCCCCUUUGUAGUUUUUAUCUUUGUAGCUAUUGUUUGUCCUAAGUGCAUGUAGUUGGAUUAUGUGCAUUAUCCAUGUGGAGCCUUCAAAGUAAAAGUAUUAAAUGAUGAACAUUUGCAUCCACUAAUACUCGUGUAAUGAUCCAAAACAUUUUAAGAGUAGUGGAAUAGCAAUUGCUGGGAGUAGGUUUUGAAGAAAAUGCUUGUGCAUCAAGGUCUCAGCUCUCCUUAUCAAGAGCUCCGUUGCAAUUUGCAUCUUCAGAUAUAUAGUUGCUGGCUUUUGCUGUCAAUUACAUCUUCCUUUCUCUGUUUAGCUAUUUGGUUAACUUUUCUCUGCAAGAGAAAAUAUUGCAUUCCUCUCCACAAACUUAUAAAGUGAAAGAUCAUCUGUUUUCUUGAUGCAAAAUGACAAACAUAUGCUUUUGUGUUUCUUCAAAUUAGAGAAAUUGUGGAUAUUUGAAGUGCUUUGUGUUAGUAUUCCUUCCAACUAUGUAACAACAGUGGUUGAAUAUACUUUUAUGGGUUGGGCAAAAUUUUCAAUAUCGUGUCUUGUGUUGCAUAGGUUAAGUCUGACUGUUGGUCGUUUCAGUGGCAGGAUAACUGGGGGAAGCUUGACUUUCUGGUAGUGCCAUUAGUAGAUCUUGAUUAUGUUUGGUUGAAGGAUGAUAACACCAUUGGUUUGCCUUCAUCUAAUUUAUGAUACCAAACUGUUGAGGAUGUAAUAGAAGAUUCACAGACUUUGUCUUUCUAACUUGCAUUGAUUUGAAGACCACGUUUAUUUUCUAGAUUCACAAAACAUGUUCUGGGACUCAGCUUUUCAAUGACAUGAAACUGUGGUUUGAAACUUUAGCCCUAAGAUUAUGUCGAAUUUUCCACCGCUAAGUGACAUCCAUUUCUCCCUCAGCCAUCUUAGAGAACCUUUCCUUGUAUGCCCUCUGAAUGCUUUGUCAGGUAGACUGCUUAUGUGAGUCUGAAACUAAUUUUGCAUUCAUUCAGUAAAAGCAUAUAAUGUUAAUGCAUUUUCAAGACUCCAUGAUUUGUGUGUUUGUUGUCCUUGUUGUCCUUGAAUUCUACUUUUUUUGUCCUGAAUUGCAUGAGGAUGUAGCUGAUCUAAAUUGUUCUAACAAACUAUUGGAAAGAGAACCUAAAGUUUGACAUUGCCACUUAAUGUGGUUUUAUUUAUCCAUUCAUGGGCUAUUUUUUCUAAACUGGUUUUGCAUUUGUUCAGAAGCGGCAUAUGAUGUUAAUGCAUGUCCAAGUCUCCAUGAUUUGUGUGUUUGUUGAACUAAUUGUCCUUGAAUUCCUUUUUUUUUUUACCCCUGAACUUCAUGAGGAUGUAGAACAGCUUAUCUAAAUUGCUCUAGCAAACUAUUAGAAAAUGAAGCUAAAGUUUGACAUUGGCACUUAAUGUGGUAUAUGUAUCAUUCAUGGGCUAUUUUUUGUCAUUUGCACUUAAUGCAAUCAGAGUUGUACGUUGAAGUGAUAUAUCUCUACCUGAGCUUUUUCGGGGACUAUCAAAAUCACAUUUUGUGGCAUAUAUUGUUUGUAGCUUGAUCAUAGUUAUAGAUUGUUCUUGGAAGACAGAAGUUCAUUUAAAAGCAUUACAUCACAUGUGAUCUUCAUUCUUCGCUGCAGGCUAUAUACAGGGGGGCAAUGAAAGGCAAACUUAUUGUCACAUGUCCGUUGCCUCCAGAUCGUAUACCAAAGUUUCACUUACUUUAUGAGGAUGUCUAGAAGGUAAAGAAGCUCUUAGGCCUCUUAGCAACGCUCUAAGAAAAAUUGUAAUUACCUCCUUUGUAUCUUAAUGAAGUGCUUAGACAUAUAGCUUUGAUUUAAAAAAUUUUAGGUUGAUUUGGCAUUGGUGGAUGUUGGCUACUCAGAAUUAGUGCAACACAUGGCCUUAACAAAUUUGACUGAAGAUUAAGCUUCAGAUUUCAUUAGUUCCACGAAUGGACACUGGUUUUCAGCCCAUGCUGAAAGUUCGAGCUAGGUAGCUAGACAGCACAAUAUUGGCAUGCCGUUGACAAAGAUGACUGAAGGUCUCUAAGCUGAACAAGGUGAACCAACCUGGCAUAAGCAAGGGAUCCUUGAGGAAUCUAUGACAAUGCCAGGAAGAGUAAUUGUCUUCUAGUGAAACUUUAGGAAUAUUUAUGUGAGUUAGUUAGAUAUGAGUUUAAUUUGAAAUUCAAUUUUUGCAUAUAUGUUAUGGAUCCAACGGUGGUAAUGUAUACACUGUCAGUGUUUAUAAGAUUAGUCGUAUAAUUAAUGCAACAACAGUUUCUGAAGUUACAAUUAGUUUGUUUGGAUAGGAAGAUUUGCAAAAAAAAAAAAAAAAAAUUCAAUUUUUUUUUGUACUUACAUUAUAAACACAAUUUCCAAUCAUUUUUUUAUCUCACAUAUAUCAUAUCACAAAAAGUGCUAUAGUAAUUAUUUCAAAUAAUCUUUUAUCCAAACAAAAUGACUUCAUAAACUGUAAAUUGAUUCACCUACUCAUUUUCAAAUAGGGAUUGAGAUGUUAAUUGCAGCUUAGGUGAUGUGUAGAUUUUAACUUGUGUUAUUUCACAUGGUGAAUGCUCAAAUCUGCAUCUUGUAUCUUUGUUGACAUGUGAUCCACAUACACAUCCAAAUAACAAAUUGUAAAAUGGUUUUCCCGUACGGCUUGGUAUGCCUAAUAGGUUACUUGGUUGUUUAUGCAUAACGUGUAAUCUUAAUUACUAUAUCUUCUUAAAGUUCAAAAAUUUUGGCCAAAACUUGGCCGCGAACUUUUGGAAAAGAUUACAUCUCACCAGUAGGCAUGUGUAGACUCCUCCAUCGUGGAAGGAGAAGGAAGUUGCCCGUCAAGUACCCUGCAGCAGAUACAGUGAAUCUUGCACUCCUGGCUUGCAAUUCAAGCUAAAUUGGGCCAAACAAUCUGCACAUGCAUUCCCUUCCUUCCAAACAUGCUUAGAUAUUACGCUAUCAAUCCUUGUCCCUCCAUUUUCUAAUCUUAUAACGAGUCUUUAACUCGUUUGUAAACCUUGCCCAAUGUUUAGUAUAGGUAGAUAUGCUAGUUGCAUGCAUUGAUUUUAUAGUUAAAUAAGGAAUUCAUACUUUAAUAUGCACAUUUUUAAAAUUUUUUUAACACGGGAGGCGUGAGAUAUUUGAAGUGGGGAGGGGAAAGAAAAAUUAGAACUCAGGAUAUCUAAAUUUUAAAGUCUUAACGUCACUGCUAGACCAAUGUCCUUGGCUUUCUCUAACAUGCAUAUUUCAAUAUCCUUCACUUAUAUAUUUCGUAUUUCAUUAAAUUCUUAUGUUCAUCACUGUAGUCAUUUUCAACCUUUGCUUUCAAACGUCUAUUAUGCAUUUUUCAGCUGUUGCUUGCAUGAUUCUUUUCUUCAAUUUCUUUUCCACUUUUUUGAAAUUUGUAGUCUUUUCAUGGAAAUUUUUUAUUUUAAUUUCAUAUGUAUGUUAUGCUUAUUCCAAUUUGGUUCCCAUUACAUUUACAUUUGCAUGAGAUUAAUCUAUCCAACUUAGCCAGUUCAAUUGAGUUAAUAUAAUUGAUUAAUUUUGGCUUGCAAAACCCAUGUACAUGAUAUAGAAAUAUAUAUCUGGAGAUGAAAUGACAUGAGGAGAUCAAAGAAAGGACAAGGGGCACAAACGGUUGCACCUGCAACCGUUUGUGCCGGUUGUGUGCAUUUUUCACUGUGCGUAACUUUGAUUGCACACGGUGUAACUUUCUUUGCACACGACGUAACUUUAGAACAAAUUUUUGUGGGUCCUACACACGGCGUGAAAAUCAAGUUAUAAGAUGUGAUCUGAGCCGCACAAAAUUUUUUGGCCAAAUCAUGGCCAUAAACUCUGACAACCGUUCCUGCCCCAUUUCCAUCAAAGAAUAUGGCAAUGAAUGGAAUUAUGAUUCUACAGUUGAUGCUUCAAGAAUCACUAUGGCAAUAAUGUACAACUAUUUUUUUUGCUGUGCAUUAGCAUGGGAUCAUUUUUCAUUGAAUGUUACCAUUGAAUAUAGCAAUAUAAAUGUUGAAAACUCUAAUAAUUAUAUUAAGCAAAAAACAAUUUUUUAAUGAAUAACUAUUGAAAAACAAUUUGGGACUGGAAAAAGGACAUAUGCUAUGUUUAAAACAUAAAAUAAGUAGAAUUAUGAAAAGGAUAUGCAAUAUCGAUCUAAGAUAUAAAAUUAGGGUUUGUUAAGUACACUAAUGUAAGUCGAACUGGACAAUAUGCAAUAUGAAUUGUUUACUAGUGCAUUUGCACCCACUUUUUCAUCUUUGAAAGUUUUUUUUUUAAACAAUAUUAAUAGUGUAGACACCAAAUUUUUGAUUUUUUAACUUUAUUUGUUUAAUUAAUUUAAUAGGUUUAUUUGCUUCAAUUCUAGGGUUUUUAUUUUUAUUUUUUUAUUUUUAUUUUUAUUUUGUUCUGGUUUAUUUUAUUUUUUAUUUAUUUUUGUCUUCAUACUAAAUUUCAGAAAAACAAAAGAAAAAGGGAAAAAAGAGAAAAAGGAAAAAAAAAAGAGUGAAAAUGACAAGUGGGAAGGCAUGCAUUUGGACAAGUGUCUCUUUUAUGUUUUAGACAACUAAGCACCUAAGGGUGAGGUGUUAGGGACACUUGGUAAGUUUAAGGAAUUUUUGGGGGGACAAGGUAGAAAGGGCCGGGAGAAAAAAAAAGGAACGGGGAGUGAAAUCUGAUGACGGCUGAGAGAAAAAGGGAGAGAAGAGAACUAGGGUGAGAGGGAGAGUUGCGACGGCUGGACAGAGGUGGAGUUUUAGAUAGAGGCCGGUUGAAACAAACGAGGGGAGCUUUUGGAACGGCGGCUGGAGAUAUAACCGAGUGAGCUUUGAGAGUGGGAGAGGGCCAAUAAGAGAGAAAAACUGGAAGAGAGAGCUUUGAGGGUCUGGGUAAGAGAACCAGAAACCAGGAAAGUGGAGAAGGCUUCGGAGCAGAGAGGAAGAAAGGGUGAGAGCCGAGCAAGGCAAACAAGAAACUGGUGGUUUUAGGUAGAGGUUUUAAAGGAAAAGCAACGGGUUUCCGGCUGAAACGAGAGGCCAAGAACAAAAGAGUGGAGAAAGGCUGAGGAAGAAACAAGGAGGAGGCUACGGGAGCCGGAGAGAAAGGGAGAAAAGAAAGAUUCUGGGCAGGAGAAGGAAACGAGAAACGAGAAGGAAAAGUGCAGAAUUCUCUUCUGCCAAAACCCAGCCAGGCUGACGGAUUAGCUGACUUCGGGGACGGAUUCCUGCUUUGAUCUUUACUUUUUGGAGGAUAUUUUGGUUUAUGCAUACUCUGGGGAGACCAUAGAAGAAAUCUCAUUCACAAAUUUCUGGGAAAGAACAACUCCAAGAUAGCUGAAUCGAAGUCCGAAGUAACAACUUUGCCAGCGUUAAAAUUUUUUGCCACGCAAGUUCCUGAGUUACGUUGUUCCAGAACAGCGCGGUUUCUCCUGCCCCUUACGUGCGUUUAACAAGUUCUAGCGUUCUCAGGUAACUCUUGCCUUUCCUUUUAUCAGUUGUUUACACAACUUUCAGGGAAAGUCGGAUCUAAUGAACAUGAAACUUUGGAAUGUUUGUUUUCAGUUUGAUAAGCUUGUCCCGUCUCUCUACCAUGUUGUUUUAGAAAAUUUCCUCGCUGAAUAUUCUUUGUUUGGUUGAUGAAUCCUUGAUGUGUUGAAGUAUGGAAAUAGAAAUGCAUAGAGUGCAUAUUUUUGGCUCCUCUCUAUCCCAAAUUUCCUUCGUUGCUUGUCUAAGCGUGCGUUCAUGAGAAAUCUAAUGAAUGUUGGGCAGCAAGUUUUCUGUGGUUUCUGGGAAUGAAAACUCAAGUGGCCGAAAAAUUUCCAAAUUGCCGCAUGCUCUCUCUCCCAAUUUUUCAUGCAUAAAAAUAAGACUGUGUGGUUGAAAAAUGGGAAGAUUACUGGAUAAUCUUGUUGUUUUGAUCUAAAUUUGUUGGUGGCCAUUAGUUAUGUUUGGAUUGCAUCCAAGAAUCCACCAGAAAUUGAACCCAACACGCUAGAAUUUAGUAGAAGUAACAAAAGAUGCUUUUCCAGUCUUUGCGAAUCUGUUGGAGAGAAGGGAUCCUGGAUCCUUGAUCUUAUGUCAUUGUAUGAUUUGUGUUGGGUUGAGUCUUGUGGAAUUGGUUGACAGGCUUGAAUGUUUCCUUUGAUUUCGUGAUCAUGGCUGUUUUCCUGCGUGAAUGGAAGCCGAAAAUUGCAGAAAGCUUCAAGAGUUGUUGAAUGGCUUUUGUUGCAGAAGGCUCACUCGUUACAUUUGCAUGCAUUUUGCAUGAACAAUCUCCAGAAAAUUUGCUUUUUUAGCCUCCCUAGUUUCCCAUAAUCCCAUUUUGGCUCAUAAGAUUGGAAAAUUUCCUCAAUUUUAUUCCUUUAACAUGUUAGUUUUCCUUGGUAUGUUUUCAUUUGAUUCGUGGAUAGACUUUUUAUGAAUUGUAGGAUGAAAUAAGAAAGUUUAAUAGUUUUUGGAAGAACUUAUAGUUUUGAUUUCCGUCUGAUUAAGAUCUUAGCUAGUUUUAUUGUUUAAUUCUAAUAAAUUGUUUUCCAUUCCUUUUUGAGAAGUUUAGCACUUACCUUUGAUAGAUUCUAUUUUGAGUCACUAAUUUAGUUUAGAACUUUUACUUCAAUUAGACUCUUUUCCACUCUAAUUUCUUGAAUAUCGAUGUUUUCUUUUAUGAAAAAUACUUUAAGUGAUCCCUUUUUGUGUUAAUUUUCAUUGCGUGUUUAAUUUUUAUUUUUUGGUAUUUAAUUUUUAUUUCAUGUUAUUUAUUUGUUAAUUAAAGUGAUGCCUUGACUCUUUUAUUAUUUUGGAGGGUAAAUAAGUAAUUUCACUCCAUUAGGGCCCCAACUCAUGGGAGGUACACUCUAUCCCUUAUUUUUACUUUAUCUGACCCUACGUGUACUUAUGUGAUUUAUGUGUUUAAUUGCAUGCCUUUUGAAUGUUUUCAUUUUAUUUAUUUAUUAAUUCGCUUUAUUCGUUUUAAUUCCGUAUAUUUAUUUAAGUUCAUUCUGAUUAUUUGAAAGGCAUUUAAAUGCCAAGUUGUAAUAGUUAGGUUUAUUUUAUUUAUUUUCAUUUCCCCCCGUUAGAUUGUAGUAGGCCCCCCUCAAAUGUAAUAGUUAGGGUUUUAUUCGCUUUCUUUUCGCUUAUGUGCUAUGUGCUUGUGUGUGCCUAUGUGUUUAUCGCUUUCCUAGGCCUUUGCAUCUAGAUAAGCAUGCUUAUGUGCUACGUGCUACGUGAAACUAGGUGCUUUGCAUGUCUAUUUGCUUUAGUAUUAUAUUUGAUUAUGUGAAUAAAUGCACGUUACCGUGGCUAGUCCAAUGCUAGUCAUGAUCUUCCCUUCGAGCUCUCACAAGUCCAAUGCUUGUGAGAGAACGUUAGUUAAGGGCUAGUCCAUUGCUAGACCCUUAGGGACCUCCCGUGCUAGAUCAUGUUCGUAUGACUACAUUACAUUCUCAUGCAUAUUUUUCACUUUUUAGGGUCUUUUAUCAUUUUUUGCAUGACAUCCCUCCUUAUACAUAUAUCCCUUCCCCCGUA
rnacentral:lncRNA from 1 species